AAUUCGCGCAAGGGAGGUAUAGGAAUUUGAUGGCUUGCGAGUGACAGCACGAGCCGAAUUUAUUGCCCGUGGAAGUACCCACGAUAGGAAUACACUGUUGGGAACAUGGUGGCGCCGCUGACGGUACCUAUAGAGAACCCCUGCAUGUCCUUCGUCGUGAUGCGAAAGAGCAGUGGAUGCAGAAAAUGUCUCUACCUGCCAGGAUGGUAUAAGAGCACGAACUGAAUCACCUGUUGGUGCAGAAGGCUUGGAGGACUGCUUUUGAAACAGUUGUUCAAAUUUCCUGCACCUCUUCGUAGCCGUUGUCUGAUUGCUGCAUUCUGGGGAGACUGAAGUUAAGAAGCCCUCACCGAAACCAACACUACGUUGCUGUGUUGUUUUCUUCCAAGGUCGGGCACAGUAAAGGAGACGACUCUGUAUCAAGGCACUACCCAGAGGGAGGAUGUUGGCCUUCUCCUGAUGGGAAAAUGUCUUCUUUCUCAUGGCGUGGCCAGGACUGCACUGACCCUACCAUCCACUCUACCUCUCCGGAAAGGGACUUGACAACCAGUCAAGAUGGAUGUGCAGAGAUAUACCAGCGCUUCUAGCAUUAACUGCCAAUUUGCACUGACGCAGCAAGACUCCCAACAGUCAAAAAAUGUCUCUACCUGCCAGGAUGGUAUAAGAGCACGAACUGAAUCACCUGUUGGUGCAGAAGGCUUGGAGGACUGCUUUUGAAACAGUUGUUCAAAUUUCCUGCACCUCUUCGUAGCCGUUGUCUGAUUGCUGCAUUCUGGGGAGACUGAAGUUAAGAAGCCCUCACCGAAACCAACACUACGUUGCUGUGUUGUUUUCUUCCAAGGUCGGGCACAGUAAAGGAGACGACUCUGUAUCAAGGCACUACCCAGAGGGAGGAUGUUGGCCUUCUCCUGAUGGGAAAAUGUCUUCUUUCUCAUGGCGUGGCCAGGACUGCACUGACCCUACCAUCCACUCUACCUCUCCGGAAAGGGACUUGACAACCAGUCAAGAUGGAUGUGCAGAGAUAUACCAGCGCUUCUAGCAUUAACUGCCAAUUUGCACUGACGCAGCAAGACUCCCAACAGUCAAAAAGAAUAAUAUAGACGUGCAGAAAAUGUAGGAGAGCGAUGACAUCAGAAGGACACUCUCAGGUUCAGGGUACCUGUACUGCCCCAAUAAAUUGGGUCAGAUCCCAAAACGAGGUUGGCCGAAGCAAAAAAAAUAGAAGAGCCUGCCUUGAAUUGAAUAUGAGGAAGAAGAAGAAGACAAAGAAAGAAAAAGAGUAGGAAUUUGCUUGUGUAAACUUUGUUUCCUCUGUCUAGGCUGCCAUCGCAUUAUAGCAGCCAACAGUGUGUGUGUGUGUGUGUGUGUGUGUGUGUGUGUGUGUGUGUGUGUGUGUGUGUGUGUG